rnacentral:rRNA from 1 species
CAGUAGCCGCGGGAAUACGUAGGGUGCGAGCGUUAAUCGGAAUUACUGGGCGUAAAGCGUGCGCAGGCGGCUUUGCAAGACAGAUGUGAAAUCCCCGGGCUCAACCUGGGAACUGCAUUUGUGACUGCAAGGCUAGAGUGCGGCAGAGGGAGAUGGAAUUCCGCGUGUAGCAGUGAAAUGCGUAGAUAUGCGGAGGAACACCGAUGGCGAAGGCAAUCUCCUGGGCCUGCACUGACGCUCAUGCACGAAAGCGUGGGGAGCAAACAGGAUUAGAUACCCCGGUAGUCCCUGUCUCUUAUAC